GACGAACGCUGGCGGCGUGCUUAACACAUGCAAGUCGAACGGAAAGGCCCUGCUUUUGUGGGGUGCUCGAGUGGCGAACGGGUGAGUACCACGUGAGUAACCUGCCCUUGACUUUGGGAUAACUUCAGGAAACUGGGGCUAAUACCGGAUAGGAGCUCCUGCUGCAUGGUGGGGGUUGGAAAGUUUCGGCGGUUGGGGAUGGACUCGCGGCUUAUCAGCUUGUUGGUGGGGUAGUGGCUUACCAAGGCUAUGACGGGUAGCCGGCCUGAGAGGGUGACCGGCCACAUUGGGACUGAGAUACGGCCCAGACUCCUACGGGAGGCAGCAGUGGGGAAUAUUGCACAAUGGGCGGAAGCCUGAUGCAGCAACGCCGCGUGCGGGAUGACGGCCUUCGGGUUGUAAACCGCUUUCGCCUGUGACGAAGCGUGAGUGACGGUAAUGGGUAAAGAAGCACCGGCUAACUACGUG
rnacentral:rRNA from 1 species